rnacentral:lncRNA from 10 species
GUGGCACUGGGAGGAUUAUAGUGGGCUCUGACCUGUGGCCGUGCUGAACCUCAUCAGCUGGAGCCCCCUGGAGCCCAACCAAGUGGGUUUAUGGAUACUUGUUACAGCAGCCUGGAUUCCACACACUGUGGGCAGAUUCCACACACCAUGGGGAAUUGGAAGGUGGAGCACAUCACCCACGAGAAAACAAGGUGUCACUUUGUCACCCAGGAUGGAGUGCAGUGGUGCCAUCUCAGGUCACUGAAACCUCCACCUCCCGGGCUCAAGCGAUCCUCCCUCCUCAACCUCCUCAGUAACUGGGAUUACAGGUGUGUACCAUCAAACCCAGCUAAUUUUUGUAUUUUUGGUAGAAAUAGGGUCUCACUAUGCUGGUCUUGAACUCCUGGGCUCAAGCUAUCCUCCUGCCUCUGCCUCCCAAAGUGCUGGGAUUAUGGGAGUGAGCCACCGUGCCCGGCCCUAUUCCAGUGCUUUUUAUUAGGAGGUAGGAGAACAGAGAAGGCUCAAGUUGUAGUUGGUAAAGAAGCAGCAGUUACUCUGGUUAGCCAGGAGAGGGUUCUCUUCAGAAGGGGCUGAGGAGGAUGGAAAAUGAAGACUCUCCCAAAGGGUGGAACCAAGAGCUGUGGAGGACAAGGACACCAGAGCCACUCCCAGUGAACAGAACCACAGCCUAAUCAAGGAACAGACUCUAUCACAAAAUCAAGAGGAGCUGGAUCAAGCCUCAGGUAGAACAUGAGGUGCUGGACUUUAAGAAUGAUGACAGGAUGGAUGAAGAAACAGAGACACCAUGAAGAUAAGACUGAUAUGGUUUGGAUCUGUGUCCCCACUCAAAUCUCAUCUUUAAUUUUAAUCCCCAUGUGUUGAAGAAGGGACGUGACGGGAGGUGAUUGGAUCAUGGGGGCAGUUUCCACCAUGCUGUUCUCGUGAUAGUGAAUGAGUUCUUACGAGAUCUGAUGGUUUAAAAGUGUGACACUUUCCCUCUCACCCCUCCCUCUCUCUCUCCUGCUGCCUUGUGAAGAAGGUGCUUGCUUUUCCUUCACCUUUUGCCACAACUGUAAGUUUCCCGAGGCCUCACAGCCAUGCAGAACUGUGAGUCAAUUAAAUCUCUUUUAUUUAUAAAUUACCCAGUCUCAAAUAGUUCUUUAUAGCAAUGUGAAAAUGGUCUAAUAAAAUGACUUUUUAAAAA